GACCGUGCAAAGGUAGCAUAAUCAUUUGCCUUAUAAUUGAAGGCUAGUAUGAAUGGUUUGACGAGAAUUAAGCUGUCUCUUUCCAAUUAGAUAUAAGUUUAUUAAUAGGUGAAGAAGCCUAUAUUUUAUUGAAAGACAAGAAGACCCUAUCGAGCUUUAAAGAAUUUAGCAGAUCUUUUUAUAUAUUUAUAAAAAAGCAGAACUGUUAAAAAUUUUGGUUGGGGCGACUGAGGAACAAAUAAAGCUUCCUUUCUGAUUAUAAAACCAACAAGUGUUGAUCCAAUAAAUUUGAUUAAAGGAAUUAGUUACCGUAGGGAUAACAGCAUAAUCCUCUUUGAGAGCUCUCAUCGAAAAGGGGGUUUGUGACCUCGAUGUUGGACCAGAAUACCCAGAAGAUGCAGCCGUCUUCAAUGGUUGGUCUGUUCGACCAUUAAAAUUCUACGUGAUCUGAGUUCAGACCGGCGUGAGCCAGGUCAGUUUCUAUCUUCAAUUUUUAGGAUGACCUUAGUACGAAAGGACCAGGCUAUCGCAUAAAAUUUGUAGUUAAUUGACUUAGUAUAAAGAAUAAUUUAAAUGUUAUGAUCAAAUUAGCAAAGAUUAAUGCAAUUGACUUAGGAUCAAUAGACAUAGGUGAAACCCCUUUAUUUGAUAUAUAAAGGUGGCAGAAAAA
rnacentral:rRNA from 1 species